CGCUGGCGGCGUGCCUAACACCAUGCAAGUCAACUUGACUGAAGGAGCAAUCUGACAGUAGAGUGGCGCAAGGGUGCGUAACGCGUAAGUAACUUGCCCAAGGUAAGGAAUAACGUCGAGAAAUCGGCGCUAAUACCUCAUAAUGCAGCGGAUCCGCAUGGAUAUGUUGUUAAAGGUUUACCGCCUUGGGAUAGGCUUGCGUCUGAUUAGCUAGUUGGUGUGGUAACGGCACACCAAGGCUACGAUCAGUAACUGGUCUGAGAGGAUGAUCAGUCACACUGGAACUGAGACACGGUCCAGACUCCUACGGGAGGCAGCAGUGAGGAAUAUUGGGCAAUGCUCGAAAGAGUGACCCAGCAACGCCGCGUGGAGGAUGAAGGUAUUCUAUAUCGUAAACUCCUGUGAGAGCAGACGAAAGACAGAUUAUUAAUCUGGAUGACUGUAUGCUCAGAGGAAGCCCCGGCUAACUACGUG
rnacentral:rRNA from 1 species